rnacentral:rRNA from 1 species
GAUGAACGCUGGCGGCGUGCCUAAUACAUGCAAGUCGAGCGAACGGACGAGAAGCUUGCUUCUCUGAUGUUAGCGGCGGACGGGUGAGUAACACGUGGAUAACCUACCUAUAAGACUGGGAUAACUUCGGGAAACCGGAGCUAAUACCGGAUAAUAUUUUGAACCGCAUGGUUCAAAAGUGAAAGACGGUCUUGCUGUCACUUAUAGAUGGAUCCGCGCUGCAUUAGCUAGCUGGUAAGGUAACGGCUUACCAAGGAAACGAUGCAUAGCAGACCUGAGAGGGUCAUCGGCUACACUGUCACUGAGACUCGGCCCAGACUCCUACGCUAGGCCGCAGUACGGAAUCUUCCGCGAUGGGCGAGAGCGUGACGUAGCGACGCCGCCUGAGUCCUGACGGUCUUCUGCUCGUAAAACUCUGUUAGUAGGGAAGAUCAAAUGUUCUUGUAACGGUGCACAUCUUGACGGUACCUAGACAGAAAGCCCCGGCUAACUUCGUG